GGGAAUGUUUUCCGUCAGAUAAGUCCGUUUUAUUUUACAUUGAUUGUUUUUAUACAUAGGAUUAAGCAUAAUUAUAAUUAUUAUUGCUCUAGAUUGCAGGAAAAAGCAAAUGCAAAACUCUUCAAUUUACAGACAGGGCCCUGCAAAGACACAAUGCAGACUACUUUUUGUCAAGGGAAUAUUCACUGUGUAUGGAUUUGUAUUUGGCUCUGGCACAAGACUUUAUGUGACAGACGACAAGCAUGUACAAAAACCCAAAGUGACGGUCUACCCAGCGUCCAACCCUGAGCCGAAUGGGAAGAUCACCCUGCUAUGUCUGGCUAGAGACAUGUUUCCAGACUUAGUCAAGAUCUCAUGGAAGAUGGAGGAUGAAUACAGCAGAACAAUGGAGGUGGCCAAAGCAGAGAGGGAAGAGCUGGAGCAGAGGGAGGAAGGACAGAUGACCAGUAUGAUCAUCAUUGAUAAAGAGAAGAUGUACAGGAACAAAUACAUCUGUUCUGUGGAGCAUGAAUGGGGCAUUCAAGAUGUUGACAUACCAAGGGAUUCCUUCCCGCUCAUGUGCAGUCUGAACCUGGCCUCUCUGGUUUAUACAGUGAUGAUAGUGAAGAGCAUGGUGUACUGCUGUGGGCUCUCUCUCCUGCUGCACCACAGGAACAUGGGGAAGUGGACACAACACCUGUAGAAAGGAUACUCCCCAGUAUGGAUAAAGAUGUAGUAGGCUGGGAAUAACAUGGAUUUUACAUCCUAUUGAGGUCUAACAUCUCAAUUGUUGGCCUAUUGCCUUAAUUUUUUCAACUUUAUUUUUCAAAUGCUAAAAUAUUGUGAGCCAUAGAUUUCCAUGUCUUC
ensembl:lncRNA